rnacentral:rRNA from 1 species
CUAAACCGUACUGAAAACCGACACAGGUGGUCAGGUAGAGAAUACUCAGGCGCUUGAGAGAACUCGGGUGAAGGAACUAGGCAAAAUAGCACCGUAACUUCGGGAGAAGGUGCGCUUACAGUAAUUGUAGUCCCUUGCGGAUGAAGGUGAAGUAAGUCGAAGAUACCAGCUGGCUGCAACUGUUUAUUAAAAACACAGCACUCUGCAAACACGAAAGUGGACGUAUAGGGUGUGAUGCCUGCCCGGUGCUGGAAGGUUAAUUGAUGGUGUUAUCGAAAGAGAAGCUCCUGACCGAAGCCCCAGUAAACGGCGGCCGUAACUAUAACGG